UGGUGGUGUCCAACUCUGUGACCCCAUGGACUGUAGCCUGCCAGGCUUCUCUGCCCCUGGCAUUCUCCAGACAAGUAUACUGGAAUGGGUUUCCAUUUCCUUCUCCAGGUGUCCUUCACAUACUGGUCAUCAGGGGCUUUGAGGUCUGGGGGCAGAACCCGGGGCAGCAUCAAAAGGCUCCAAUAAGAGGCCAGAACUUGCAAGACUUUUAGGGCAGGCAGAACGCCACACCUGUGCCCAAGCUGGUUUUUAAUAGGGUCCUCCAGGUGAUCCUGGUGAAAUUUACCUACCUGCUCUAAAAUUCUACAGUUCUGUCCCCUCCAAAGGAAAACCCCAAUCCACACCAUUCUGGAAAGGUCUGGAAGGGAUUUGUCAGCAAGCUGACUGUUUUGAAGACAACUUUCGAGAAAACUUUAAAUGAUACACCAGAAUCACAGACUGCAUGGUGAUGCGAGUCAUUGCCGUGAUAAUACUAUUCCAACUUCACACAGAUGAUACAGCAUUUGUGAAGGACAGUCCAAGAAUGGGGGAAUUCUGGAUAGAAAGACAGCAGGUGAGACAUUGCCUAACUCAAGUCAUCCUCAAGCAAAAACAAAACAAAGAAUCGUGAGUCGCUUGGACCACACGGCACACUUGGAGCAAAAAGACAACAUGGCACUCCUUAAGAAGCCCACACACUGGGAAUUAAACUACCAGAACUGGCAUAUCUCUCCCUCAUCUGGUUGCACCUCCUUUUACAGAUAAAACUGGGGCCCCCCUAGGAGACAUGAGCUGCCCAGGCUCCUAGCAUUCUUGAAUAAUCAAACUGCAUUAGGAAUACACAUCUCCUUAGUGUUUGAGACCUCCCCUUCCACCCUUACUCUCUGGGGUCUAGAGGAGCUUCUCUCCAUCCACGCGUAUCCAGCACACCUGUUCUUGGCUCUCACGUGGCCCCUGUGGGGAGCUCAACAAAAGAUAUUUAUUUGUUCAAAACAACCACAGCUGAAGACAGUCAUCUCUUCACCUCCUGGAAAGCCUCAUUUAACCUAAUGCUGGCAUUUUCUACUCACAGCAACUUCCCAUGAGAGGAACCUACAGCCUCCUUUCCCCGCCUCCAGCUUUCUGGGGCCACGUGUGGAAGUCAAGAUGGGCUUCUCUCUGCCUCAGCCAAAGAGGUCCAGAGAGACCGCAGCUUAGGAGCUGCACCCUAGGCCUGCAGACAUUUCUGCUGUGAGCAGGAGGGGCCUUGGUGCCUGUCCCCUACCCUGCCUGUCCUUCAGGUCCUGCUGGUACCAACUCUCUGACUCUUUACAAGAACUGUGGUUACCGAGACUCCAGAAUCAUUAAGGGUUCAACGUAGCAACCAAAGGGAAAAGGGGAUGAGAACAAACUUGUACUUUGUGCCAACUAUGCCUUUGGAAAGGUUCUAGAAUACAGGAGAAGGAAAUGGCAACCCACUCCAGUGUUCUUGCCUGGAGAAUCCCAGGGACAGGGGAGCCUGGUGGGCUGUCAUCUGUGGGGUCGUGCAGAGUCUGACACGAUUGAAGUGACUUAGCAGUAGCAGAAUACAGGUAAGGACACAGUAGUUUUAAAAGGCAUAAGAACUUGGUGAAGAUCACAUGGUCAAAGCCCAUGUUCAGAACUACAUCUGUCUGACUUCAAAGUCAUGUCCAAGGACAAAGACUCUGCCUCCUUUUUCAGCAUCACCCCCGUGGGAGGCCAGGGCCUAAAACUUGGCCCCUGUCCGAACUUUUUCAAGGGGACUCCAAGAUUCAUCUCUGUCCGUCUCUACACAAAUGACCUAAUUAUAUGUAACCACCAAGGAACAGGAGCAGCUCUGAAGUUGUCAGCAUUCGCAGAGAAAUAUCAAGAGCAUGUAAGUGACUCUGCCUUUGAGGCCACGCUAGGACCUGGGAAGCAAGAAUCAGCAGCUCCAAGUUACAAAAUCAGAAAAGCUUCAGGUGUGUGGAAGGAGAACCAGAUGCGACGAAGGUGGUGUCUCCCGGCGGGCACAGCACACUGUUGGCAGCAAAGCACAAAGGUACAAAAUGACUAAAGUGAAGUGAACCACAGGGAGAAACAGAAAAGAUCCCAGGAAGCCAAGGAGUCAUUUCACAGAUGAGAACAUGCUGGGUGAAGAGAGAGCCCGUUUAAAGAACUGGUGAGGGCCGGGGCCCUGGAGACGGUCCCACAGCCAGGAGGAGCUUGUGUGCUAAGGUCCCAGAGGAGAUGAAUGGCAUAUUCCUUGCCAUGAAAAGGGGGAAAUACAACACUUACCUUGUGAAGCAACAUCCAUCAGAAUCCCAGGGUGGGGAUAACUUACGAAGAGAGGAUACGCUGGAGGUGCCCCGAAGAAACUGGUGUAAGCCUUCUUCGUCUUCGCUGGAGCUGACUAUACUGUUCCUCAUUUCUAGCAUGGACAACUGAGUGCAAAGGCUGAGCUGGUGGUCCAACUUUUUGAUCUUCUGUAAAGCAAAGUUUUAAGAUUUCUGAAUGCUACGGGACUUAGAUCAUAGCUUUCCUGUCCUUCCAUCAGCUUCACAUGGCAUGCCUAUCACUGAACUCCAGCUCAUCCGUGGUCCAUUCUCUCUCCUGAGCACCCUGAGGGCAGGGACUGCAUCUUCAUACUGAGUGCCUGGCUUUCAACACAGAGUGGUGCUCAGUGCAGAUUUACUGAUGAAGGAAUUAACAGAUGAACACAAAUACUUAAGGCAAAAAGUGUUUUUAUAUCUUUAACAUUAAACCCAAUGCCAAGUGGGAGAUUAAUAAAAGUUUUCAAAAUUGA